CCUUGGCAGUCAGAGGCGAUGAAAGACGUGGUAGCCUGCGAAAAGCUUCGGGGAGUCGGCAAACAGACUUUGAUCCGGAGAUCUCUGAAUGGGGGAACCCACCUAGGAUAACCUAGGUAUCUUGUACUGAAUCCAUAGGUGCAAGAGGCGAACCAGGGGAACUGAAACAUCUAAGUACCCUGAGGAAAAGAAAUCAACCGAGAUUCCCUUAGUAGUGGCGAGCGAACGGGGAUUAGCCCUUAAGCUUCAUUGAUUUUAGCGGAACGCUCUGGAAAGUGCGGCCAUAGUGGGUGAUAGCCCCGUACGCGAAAGGAUCUUUGAAGUGAAAUCGAGUAGGACGGAGCACGAGAAACUUUGUCUGAACAUGGGGGGACCAUCCUCCAAGGCUAAAUACUACUGACUGACCGAUAGUGAACCAGUACCGUGAGGGAAAGGCGAAAAGAACCCCGGAGAGGGGAGUGAAAUAGAACCUGAAACCGUAUGCGUACAAGCAGUGGGAGCCUACUUGUUAGGUGACUGCGUACCUUUUGUAUAAUGGGUCAGCGACUUAUAUUCAGUGGCAAGCUUAACCGUAUAGGGUAGGCGUAGCGAAAGCGAG
rnacentral:rRNA from 1 species